rnacentral:tRNA from 1 species
UAAAAAUUAGUUAAAUUAUAACCUUAGAAUGUCAAACUAAAAUUAUUAAUAUUUUAAUAUUUUUA